GACGAACUCUGGCGGCGUGCUUAACACAUGCAAGUCGAACGGUAAGGCUCCAGCUUGCUGGGGUACACGAGUGGCGAACGGGUGAGUAACACGUGGGUGACCUGCCCUGCACUUCGGGAUAAGCCUGGGAAACUGGGUCUAAUACCGGAUAGGACCGCACCGUGAGGGUGUGGUGGAAAGUUUUUUCGGUGUGGGACGGGCCCGCGGCCUAUCAGCUUGUUGGUGGGGUAAUGGCCUACCAAGGCGGCGACGGGUAGCCGGCCUGAGAGGGUGGACGGCCACAUUGGGACUGAGACACGGCCCAGACUCCUACGGGAGGCAGCAGUGGGGAAUAUUGCACAAUGGGCGGAAGCCUGAUGCAGCGACGCCGCGUGGGGGAUGACGGCCUUCGGGUUGUAAACUCCUUUCACCAUCGACGAAGGGUUUCUGACGGUAGAUGGAGAAGAAGCACCGGCUAACUACGUGCCAGCAGCCGCGGUAAUACGUAGGGUGCGAGCGUUGUCCGGAAUUACUGGGCGUAAAGAGCUCGUAGGUGGUUUGUCGCGUCGUCUGUGAAAUUCCGGGGCUUAACUCCGGGCGUGCAGGCGAUACGGGCAUAACUUGAGUACUGUAGGGGAGACUGGAAUUCCUGGUGUAGCGGUGAAAUGCGCAGAUAUCAGGAGGAACACCGGUGGCGAAGGCGGGUCUCUGGGCAGUAACUGACGCUGAGGAGCGAAAGCAUGGGGAGCGAACAGGAUUAGAUACCCUGGUAGUCCAUGCCGUAAACGGUGGGCGCUAGGUGUGGGUUUCCUUCCACGGGAUCCGUGCCGUAGCUAACGCAUUAAGCGCCCCGCCUGGGGAGUACGGCCGCAAGGCUAAAACUCAAAGGAAUUGACGGGGGCCCGCACAAGCGGCGGAGCAUGUGGAUUAAUUCGAUGCAACGCGAAGAACCUUACCUGGGCUUGACAUAUACAGGAUCGCGCCAGAGAUGGUGUUUCCCUUGUGGCUUGUAUACAGGUGGUGCAUGGUUGUCGUCAGCUCGUGUCGUGAGAUGUUGGGUUAAGUCCCGCAACGAGCGCAACCCUUGUCUUAUGUUGCCAGCACGUUGUGGUGGGGACUCGUAAGAAACUGCCGGGGUUAACUCGGAGGAAGGUGGGGAUGACGUCAAAUCAUCAUGCCCCUUAUGUCCAGGGCUUCACACAUGCUACAAUGGUCGGUACAGUGGGUUGCCAGUCCGUGAGGGCGAGCUAAUCCCGCAAAGCCGGUCUCAGUUCGGAUCGGGGUCUGCAACUCGACCCCGUGAAGUCGGAGUCGCUAGUAAUCGCAGAUCAGCAACGCUGCGGUGAAUACGUUCCCGGGCCU
rnacentral:rRNA from 1 species